rnacentral:sRNA from 1 species
CAGUGCCGGCCCUGAGGGGCGCCGAGACGUGGGAGCUGCUGGCCGCGGCGUGGGCAGUUCAGGGGCUGGGCGGCCGAGGUGUCUUCAAAAACAAACAUAUUUAAAAGAUUUUACUUCUCAUCUCCAGGAAGAACCAGCUAGGAGUAGGGUGCAAAUAGCUAUGGGCAACUUGGCCUCGGCCAUAAGGAAGAUGUGCUGUUGCCCCAGCAACUGAAUGACUUCUGUAAACCCAGGAGUAUCAGGAGGAUCACAGGAGGAGGGGGCCACUCUGCAGUUGUCACAGAUGGAGGAGACCUCUUUGUUUGUGGCCUGAACAAAGAUGGGCAACUGGGGCUUGGUCACACAGAGGAGAUCCCAUAUUUUACCCCCUGCAAAUCCCUCUUUGGCUGUCCCAUCCAACAGGUGGCCUGUGGCUGGGAUUUUACCAUUAUGCUCACAGAAAAUGGUCAAGUUCUAUCAUGUGGAUCCAACUCCUUUGGCCAGUUAGGAGUUCCUCAUGGACCUCGAAGAUGUGUGGUUCCCCAGGCCAUUGAGCUCCAUAAAGAGAAGGUUGUUUGUAUUGCUGCUGGACUGAGGCAUGCAUUAGCUGCUACAGGACAGCACUAAUUGGCUGUGGCAGCUG